rnacentral:lncRNA from 1 species
UCAUUUUCAUCUUCAACAAUGCUUUCUGCUAUAUUCCCCUAGUUCAGCUAUACUUACUGUGAAUCAAAUUUGUACAUGAGAAGAAGAAUGCAAGAUACCCUAUUUGUUCCUAGUUACUAUCAGUAUAUUUGCACCCUUGUGUUAGAAUGCCUAGCUCGGUCGGAUAGCUUGAAAUCAUUGGGGCUCUGAUAAUGGGGAUCCGUUUUGAGCAGCUAUAAAACAAGAAACACAUCAAAAUAAAUUACCAGAUCAAAUUAUGAGAUUGAUAGUUUGGUCAAAAUGGAAGUCAACAAAUGUUAUAUCAGCAUCUAAUUAUAAAAUCUAGCUGUUUUCUUAUUUUUCACCUUUCUUUUUUCCUUUCUGUUAUUCAUUAUUGUUCUUACUCUUCCAUCCCGUGAGCCCCAAUUACAUUCCAUGCAUACAUGCAAAUUCUCUUAUAACAUCCUAUAUUUAUCUGCAUCAAAAUUUACAGGAUGCUUCAGCGAAUUUUUCCAAUUUUUGUAUAAUUUGAAUGUAGCAAAUUACUCUUUUUCUCUUUCCAUUUCACAACAUCCAACUAAUUUGUUUUAAACAAACAAAUGCACUAAGCAUAAUUGGUUGAAUAAUUUAUUCAUAAAGUUUACGGUUCAUGUUUGAAUUCUCAUCACUCCCUUAAUAAUUAUGGUUGAAUAAAUUAAAUUCAAUAGCUCAAUGCACCAGGAAAUAAAUACAUAAAAACUUUAACAACUUUCUACACCACUGUCGAAAGUAAAAAGUAUAAAAUAAAAAGGAGAUCACUUUCAAAUUUGACCACUUCAUAUUUCAUCUUCAUCAAUGCUUUCUAAUAUAUUCUCCUAGUUCAGCUAUACUUACUGUGAAUCAAAUUUGGGCAUGAAAAUUAAGAAGAAUGCAAAAUACCCUAUUUGUUCCUAGUUACUACCAAUAUAUUGGCAUCCUUGUGUUAGACCCCUUCUGUACAAGCAGAGCAUUAAAAUUUGCAUCAAGCUAGUGUUAGGUUGCUGGUCUUAUCACAUUUUAUGAAUUUAUCUCACAAUUAUCAUGAAGAUAGACAAGGGUAUAUCUGUAAAUGAAAUUCUCCCAAUGAAUGCUAAUUUUGAAAUUAUCUCUCUUCCGUUGCACCAACAUGAGAGUGUCAAUUAGAUCCCAUCAUCUAGUCCUUAUUUUAGCAAUAAUUGUUGUAAGAAAAAGAAAAGGAUCAUAGGCAGUCUAAAACACAAUUGCAUUUCAUGCAGUUUUGCCAUUUCUUUUGCAAUUUUCUUUUUUUAAUUUGAAUUCUGUCAUUUAAUUCUUGAAAUUGAUACACUUUUCUAAAUGUUGUAAACUAUCAAACUUCAAGUUUUAUAAUAAGUCUGUCUGCAGUAAAUGAUAUCAUUAGUAAUUAGUACAUAUUCUCACUGGUAUCACUGAAAAUAUCUCUUGGAGACUACCUUUUCAAGAUAGGAGUGGACCACGUAUGGUUCAUCAUGGGCUUAGCCUGUGAAAUCAUGAUCAUGAUACAUUGAAGGUUCACCGCCAUUAUUUACAAUAAAUCUAUUCCAAUACUAAUUUUUCUUUUUUCUGCAGCUUUAGGCGAAGUCUCCCAAAUUUAGGAAUAAAUGCCUUAAUUCUAAUCACUAGUUAGCAAUUACUCUAUCAUCACCAUCCAUCUCAUAUCUUUUGUAUUCUCUAUUCUCUUUCGUUUUAUUUAAAGAGAUUCUCAAUCCUAAAAUAGUGUUCUCCAUCUCUAGUCUUCAUAUUUUUCACUAUAUUCAAUGAGAUUUCGAGUAAAGCCAGUUGAAUACAUUUAUAAACUAAAUGUCAAUGUUGGUAGUCCCUAAUUUAGGAGAUGAUGGUGAUUUCGAGGCUUCUAUUUAUGUGACCACAUGGAGGAAUUGAUGGUGGUAUAGGCAGCAAUAUUUGUUUCCUAGACAGUAGACACUAUCCUCACCUACUCUAUGUCUCUAAUGGAGGCUAUGGAUAUUAAGGAAUGGCCCAUUUGUGGCUACACUAGGUUAUUUAUCCAAUAUUGUGGUAAAAACAAAGGAUUGCAUUUGAUCUGGAUAGGAUAUUUUGGAUGCUUUGAAGCUAGGCCUACUUUUUGAAAAUAUAUUAAACCAAGAAAUUAAAAUACUUACUGGUUUCUCCUUUGCGGUGGAAGUGUACUGAUUAAUUGAUUAUAUGGGUUGAAAUCAUUGUGGGUUCCAACAAGUGAAAUAAACCAUCUGCACCUCCUUUUAUUUUCUUUCUUGGGAACACAGCAGCUGCAACAACGCACCCUCCCUU